rnacentral:rRNA from 1 species
AUGCAUGAUCAGGUCGUCCUAGACCUAGACGACUUCCCACUUGACCACGAGUUUCUGGAGGACUACGGGAAGGAGGAAGAGGACGAGUGCGACAUCAAAGGGGGGCCUUUGUUCGAGGGCGAGCUCGCCAACCAAGCCGCCAGGACGAAGCCGAAGCGCAAGAGCAAGCGGACCAAGGCAUACACGGCGGCCGAGGACAAGCUUCUUUGUGAGUGUUGGGGAGACAAUUGGCAAGACCCCAAGACGAUCGCCGAAAAAAAGGCAUCAACCUUUUGGAUUCGUGUCCACCGUGAGUUCCAUGAGCGCAUGAAGUUUCCACCGUACCAAAUAGUAAGCACGCGCGGGUGGGUGCUUGAACAGACUAGUUUUCAAAUACAUCCUCAACCAUAG